rnacentral:lncRNA from 1 species
UCGGAUGACUUUUCAUGAAGAAAAAGAAAUGGAAGGAAAUGCAAGGAGAAACCUCAGGGAAGGGGUAUCUGCAAGUGGACUCUGGACGCUAGAGGUCAAGGCAAGAAGAGGGGAUGCUGAGGGCUUUGCCCAAGGCCACAGAAGGGUGUGGAGAGUGGCAUGCGCGCCGGGACUCCCCCGCCCUGAGUGGCCACGGUGCGGGGCUGGCCCCGCCUGUGUCAUCUCCUCCACAGCUGUGUUUCUAGUGAGGGCUGGGGAGAGAAGGUGAGCAGAAGAAUCAAGUAAAACCUGCUAGUAGUCCCUCUGUCUGUCACCGGUGAGGGUGGCCGGCCACCACACUCUAGUGCGCAGCCUUCACAGCUCUGGGGUGUGCCCACGUGGAGCCUAUGGCCCUGCCCUGAGCCUCUGCUGGAGUGGCUGCCACAGGCCUCUGGGGCCUUUGUCUUUCUAAGUUUCCCUGCAAAGCGCAGGGUGUUAGGGACUCUGCGAAGACUUCAGGCUGUACCCAGCGCAGCUGGGGUCUGCAUCAGAGACGACAGGGGUGCCCUGCAGGAACGGUUCCCCAUUGCCUCCUGCCCAACCCAGUCGUUACCUGGCACUGACACGGAGCUGAGAGGGCUUUGAGGACAAAGGGGCCAGGGCUGGAUGACACGCAGGUGCGGCCUCGGUGCUCACCCAAGCUUUGGGUAGGGGAGGACAGAGCAAAACAAAACCCAAAAGAAUAAGCUUCCUAACGUUUGAGCAACACUCUGGACUGGAUGCACAAUGUUUCCCCUCCACGCUUCCCUCACUUUCCCAUCUUGCAGGGGGCACGAAAGUGAAUGUUUCAAGCUCACUUCAAGGAGUUUCAGAGGGAAACUGAGUCCCAGGGACGAAGCAGAAUUUUGGCAGCCUGGCUGAUCCGUGGGGCAAAGGAGUUACCCGUCUGGCUUUUCCUGUUUAACUUGGCCUGCACUUUCCCUCAAGGUUAAAUCCAAGCCGUACUCGGGCUACGAAAGGGAAAUGCACUCUUUAGAGAAGGACCUCUCGGCCCACCUGGGCUUCCGCCUCUACCCUGCAAGAGUGUGGGGCAGCAGGGUGGAGGCCCGGGUCCCUGGCAGUGCCCAAGGGGGGCAGCAGGUCUGGGCCUAGGAUCCCAGGUGAUCAGCCAUGGCAGCAAAGGUGACAGUGGUGCAGGGAGCACUCCCAGGCCUGGGCCCCAGCCGGGUCCCACUUCCUGUGGGAAGCUCUGAGGCAAUUUCUGCCACGUGACUGCAGACACCAGGAGCCGACAAGGAGCAGCACCUGCUGACAGCCUCCGCUAACACUCGCAGCCCCCCUGUCCCCCAGAAAAAGCAGUGGCAUCAGACCAGGACCCCAGAGCCAGCCCGGGCUGUCACGCACACCACGAUCACCAUGUGUCACUUCCAAGCAGAAGGACCCUGUGCAUUCAGAGUGCAGCCCUGAUGCACACACACACGCUGGAAGGAUAUAUUACUUUACUUUGUGGAACUGGAAAAUUUCUUUAAUUCAGUCUAUGCUCGUAUAACACAAAUGUUUGAGAAUCCACCACCCACCCCACCUAGUGCUCAGUUGGGCCCGAGCAGCAGCAGCCAGCCACGUCAACGUGCAGAGCUGCUAGGUAGCAUCUUCAAACAGGUAAAUGAAGAAAGGUAACAUUUAUGCACAUGUGUGUAUACAUAUAUAUAGGAAACCACGGCGUUCUUCGUUCUGGCCCAAGGUAACACAUCACACAUUUGGUGUUGUUCAGUAAAUACCAGCAAGCGCAGGGUGUCACUGAAGGGUCCAAGCUGUCCCCAGGAUGAAUGGUGAUGAACUAUCAGGUCACCAGGAAGAAUAAAGAAUAUGCUCACCUGUGGAAUUGUAUUUCCAAUAUAUGCGUAUAUAUGCAUGAGUGUUUGCGUGUGUAGGCGUGAGUGUGGUGUGUGUGUGUGUGUGCACGCGUACUCAGUGAGUUGCUGCAGUAGAAAACAUUGGUUUAAUUCUGUUCAUACUAAGCAUGUUAAAUAAAUCAGGUUUCAUAACCUAGAACACAAUUCUUUUUUUAAAAAGGAACAUUGAAGAUCUUCAAAAAUUACUACAGUACAAAAAAAGUGUGUGUGUGUGUCUGUUGGUAUUUAUAUAUUUAUAUAUGUAUAAUAACCAGAAAUAGUGACUCUAUCGGAAGAGAUUCCCACCCCUGUUUUCUGUAAGAUUUCUAUGCGUGAUUCGCUCGGCUGCGGCUCUGGGCCGGGCCUCUCGGGUCGGUUCAUGGCACAUAAUGGUAUUAUUGGCACAGGUUCAGAAUCGUGGUCCCAAUCCCAGGCGUCGAUGCCUCCUCCUGUCCCGUCCGCGUGGCCACCUGGUCUCUUUCUCCAGUCCCCUCUUGUGUGUCUUUGCUCUAUUCUCCAAAGAAAACUCCAGGGAAGGCAGUCACCCAUAGGCGUGAGCAUCUUUACAAAAAUAUAUUUGGCCUAGAGCGCCUGCUAUGCGAGUUUCCCACCGGCAGACAGAAGCAGCAGGUGCGGGACCCUCCCCCUCAGAUAGUUUAGUUUUAGGUUUUGUGUUUGUGUUUUUGUUUUUACAGGUUCACCAACGGAAUCCUAUGUGAAAAAAAAACAAAAAGAGAUUAAAUGCCAGUGGGGCCAGGCAUGGCCAGGCUGUGGGGCCCCCGCCACAUGCAGAGCCCAGUGCCCUCCUGCUCGGCCAGCAGAUGCCCGGGUGGUCAGGAAAGGGAAGGUGUCACCUGAGAACUGGAGCUCCCUGCGGCCAGGGAUGGGGAGAAACUCAUGGGUCACAACAGAAGAACCCCCCUGGCUCUCCCCGGGAGGAGGCCUUGCUGGAGAGAGGAGGCAGGUUAUACCUGCCUCACCUGUAUGUACAUAGGCCAGGUGAGCUGCCUGCAGCAGGUGCAGGGGAAGGGGUGCCACCCCAGCCUGUGGGUGCCCUAGGAAGUAAGGGGCUCAGUCCCCCAGCAGUAGGGACCCAGCAGGUCAGCCUGGGCCAGGCAUCAGAGGGUACCAGGGCUCCUGGGUGUGGACAGGGACUGGAGCCCAUCCCAGCUCUGCAGGUGGACAGGUGUGCUCAAAGGGCACCUAGGGUAUGGGGAUGGGUGCCUCAGAGCUGCCCCCGGCACCCCAUGGCUGCCGGUAGAAAGGAAAUGCCACACAUCCUGCAGGUGAGGAAGAGGGUGGGGGUGUCAAGGGUCCCUGGAUGAGGUCUGGAGAAGCCCUCAGCUGGAGCUUGGGUGGCCAGACAGGCUCCACCCUUCACUUUCAGAUCCACUCAGAAAUGACUCCGGGCAACUGUGGAGGCCCAGAGCCUCCUCCCAGCCGGGCCUGUGAACAUGUGUCUAAGAGCUCUCCAGGAAGUCAAUCCAAGGACAGCCAGAUGGGGAACAGCUGUCCCCAGCCGACAAGGGUGUGGCAUUCUUCCACCCCAUGACUAGGGAGAUGGAGGGCUGCAGGCCACCAGGUGGGACAAGGUGAAGGACCCAAGAUGCAUGCCAGGCUUGGCCGGCAUGGCUGGUGGCCCCAGCAUAGCUGCUCCUGCUCAGCGCUGGCUCCUUGUUGUUCCUGGAGCCCCAGCUCUGCAGGACUGGGG